rnacentral:tRNA from 1 species
GGCCGCGUACCUUAGUGGUAAAGGGCAACACUUGUAAUGUCGAUAUCGUGGGUUCGAAUCCCACCGCGGCCG